rnacentral:rRNA from 1 species
AUGAACGCUGGCGGCGUGCCUAAUACAUGCCAGUCGAGCGAACAGACGAGGAUCUUGCUCCUCUGACGUUAGCGGCGGACGGGUGAGUAACACGUGGAUAACCUACCUAUAAGACUGGGAUAACUUCGGGAAACCGGAGCUAAUACCGGAUAAUAUAUUGAACCGCAUGGUUCAAUAGUGAAAGACGGUUUUGCUGUCACUUAUAGCUGGAUCCGCGCCGCAUUAGCUAGUUGGUAAGGUAACGGCUUACCAAGGCGACGAUGCGUAGCCGACCUGAGAGGGUGAUCGGCCACACUGGAACUGAGACACGGUCCAGACUCCUACGGGAGGCAGCAGUAGGGAAUCUUCCGCAAUGGGCGAAAGCCUGACGGAGCAACGCCGCGUGAGUGAUGAAGGUCUUCGGAUCGUAAAACUCUGUUAUUAGGGAAGAACAAAUGUGUAAGUAACUAUGCACGUCUUGACGGUACCUAAUCAGAAAGCCACGGCUAACUACGUG